GCUGGGCAUGGUGGUGCAGGCCUGUAAUCCCAGCUGCUUGGGAGGCUGAGGCAGGAGGCUCAUGAGUUCAAAGCCAGCUUCAGCAAACUUAGUGAGGCCUUAAGUAACUUAGCAAGACCCUGUUUCUA
rnacentral:sRNA from 1 species